UGAGAAAACUAGCUCUCUGAAUGUCCUA
rnacentral:sRNA from 1 species